GAUGAACGCUGGCGGCGUGCCUAAUACAUGCAAGUCGAGCGAACAGACGAGGAGCUUGCUCCUCUGACGUUAGCGGCGGACGGGUGAGUAACACGUGGAUAACCUACCUAUAAGACUGGGAUAACUUCGGGAAACCGGAGCUAAUACCGGAUAAUAUAUUGAACCGCAUGGUUCAAUAGUGAAAGACGGUUUUGCUGUCACUUAUAGAUGGAUCCGCGCCGCAUUAGCUAGUUGGUAAGGUAACGGCUUACCAAGGCAACGAUGCGUAGCCGACCUGAGAGGGUGACGGGCAACACGGGGACUGAGCCGCGGCCCAGACUCCUAGGGAAGGCAGCAGUAGGGAAUCUUCCGCAAGGGGCGAAAGCCUGACGGAGCAACGCCGCGGGAGGGAUGAAGGUUUUGGGUUCUAAAAACUCUUUUAUUAGGGAAAAAAAAAUUUGAAGUAAAAUUACCGCUACUAGACGUUACCUAACCAGAAAGCCACGGCUAACUAAGUC
rnacentral:rRNA from 1 species